rnacentral:misc_RNA from 1 species
GAUGAAGAACGUAGCGAAAUGCGAUAAGUAAUGUGAAUUGCAGAAUUCAGUGAAUCAUCGAGUCUUUGAACGCACAUUGCGCCCCUUGGUAUUCCGAGGGGCAUGCCUGUUCGAGCGUCAUUAUAACCCCUCAAGCUCAGCUUGGUGUUGGGGCCUGCUGCACUGGCAGCCCUUAAAAUCAGUGGCGGCGCCAUCUGGCUCUAAGCGUAGUAAUUCUUCUCGCUAUGGAGUCCUGGUGGAUGCUUGCCAUCAACCCCCAAUUUUUCUAUGGUUGACCUCGGAUCAGGUAGGGAUACCCGCUGAACUUAAGCAUAUCAAUAAGCGGAGGA